AGUCAUAUGCUUGUCUCAAAGAUUAAGCCAUGCAUGUCUAAGUACAAACUAAAUUAAAGUGAAACCGCGAAAGGCUCAUUAAAUCAGUUAUGGUUCCUUAGAUCGUACCACAAUUACUUGGAUAACUGUGGUAAUUCUAGAGCUAAUACAUGCAAACAGAGCUCUAACCGGAGACGGAAGGAGUGCUUUUAUUAGAUCAAAACCAAUCGGUGGCGGUGACGUUUCGGCGUUAUCGUUCAUCGUUUAAUAAAUGGUGAUUCUGAAUAACUUUAUGCUGAUCGCAUGGUCUUGUACCGGCGACGCAUCUUUCAAAUGUCUGCCUUAUCAACUGUCGAUGGUAGGAUCUGCGCCUACCAUGGUUGUAACGGGUAACGGGGAAUCAGGGUUCGAUUCCGGAGAGGGAGCCUGAGAAACGGCUACCACAUCCAAGGAAGGCAGCAGGCGCGCAAAUUACCCACUCCCGGCACGGGGAGGUAGUGACGAAAAAUAACGAUACGGGACUCAUCCGAGGCCCCGUAAUCGGAAUGAGUACACUUUAAAUCCUUUAACGAGGACCAAUUGGAGGGCAAGUCUGGUGCCAGCAGCCGCGGUAAUUCCAGCUCCAAUAGCGUAU
rnacentral:rRNA from 1 species